rnacentral:rRNA from 1 species
UUUAUGGAGAGUUUGAUCCUGGCUCAGGAUGAACGCUGGCGGCGUGCCUAAUACAUGCAAGUCGAGCGAACGGACGAGAAGCUUGCUUCUCUGAUGUUAGCGGCGGACGGGUGAGUAACACGUGGAUAACCUACCUAUAAGACUGGGAUAACUUCGGGAAACCGGAGCUAAUACCGGAUAAUAUUUUGAACCGCAUGGUUCAAAAGUGAAAGACGGUCUUGCUGUCACUUAUAGAUGGAUCCGCGCUGCAUUAGCUAGUUGGUAAGGUAACGGCUUACCAAGGCAACGAUGCAUAGCCGACCUGAGAGGGUGAUCGGCCACACUGGAACUGAGACACGGUCCAGACUCCUACGGGAGGCAGCAGUAGGGAAUCUUCCGCAAUGGGCAAAAGCCUGACGGAGCAACGCCGCGUGAGUGAUGAAGGUCUUCGGAUCGUAAAACUCUGUUAUUAGGGAAGAACAUAUGUGUAAGUAACUGUGCACAUCUUGACGGUACCUAAUCAGAAAGCCACGGCUAACUACGUGCCAGCAGCCGCGGUAAUACGUAGGUGGCAAGCGUUAUCCGGAAUUAUUGGGCGUAAAGCGCGCGUAGGCGGUUUUUUAAGUCUGAUGUGAAAGCCCACGGCUCAACCGUGGAGGGUCAUUGGAAACUGGAAAACUUGAGUGCAGAAGAGGAAAGUGGAAUUCCAUGUGUAGCGGUGAAAUGCGCAGAGAUAUGGAGGAACACCAGUGGCGAAGGCGACUUUCUGGUCUGUAACUGACGCUGAUGUGCGAAAGCGUGGGGAUCAAACAGGAUUAGAUACCCUGGUAGUCUACGCCGUAAACGAUGAGUGCUAAGUGUUAGGGGUUUCCGCCCCUUAGUGCUGCAGCUAACGCAUUAAGCACUCCGCCUGGGGAGUACGACCGCAAGGUUGAAACUCAAAGGAAUUGACGGGGACCCGCACAAGCGGUGGAGCAUGUGGUUUAAUUCGAAGCAACGCGAAGAACCUUACCAAAUCUUGACAUCCUUUGACAACUCUAGAGAUAGAGCUUUCCCCUUCGGGGGACAAAGUGACAGGUGGUGCAUGGUUGUCGUCAGCUCGUGUCGUGAGAUGUUGGGUUAAGUCCCGCAACGAGCGCAACCCUUAAGCUUAGUUGCCAUCAUUAAGUUGGGCACUCUAAGUUGACUGCCGGUGACAAACCGGAGGAAGGUGGGGAUGACGUCAAAUCAUCAUGCCCCUUAUGAUUUGGGCUACACACGUGCUACAAUGGACAAUACAAAGGGCAGCGAAACCGCGAGGUCAAGCAAAUCCCAUAAAGUUGUUCUCAGUUCGGAUUGUAGUCUGCAACUCGACUACAUGAAGCUGGAAUCGCUAGUAAUCGUAGAUCAGCAUGCUACGGUGAAUACGUUCCCGGGUCUUGUACACACCGCCCGUCACACCACGAGAGUUUGUAACACCCGAAGCCGGUGGAGUAACCUUUUAGGAGCUAGCCGUCGAAGGUGGGACAAAUGAUUGGGGUGAAGUCGUAACAAGGUAGCCGUAUCGGAAGGUGCGGCUGGAUCACCUCCUUUCU